GGCAGGAACUCUUAGUGAUACCAAGAGUGAAAAUUUUCAGCUGUAUGGAAGUCUUGCAAAGUCACAUGAAGAACUUCAGGUGGCACCUGUUAUUCCUAAAUUACUUUAAUUCCUUAUUUGGAUUGACAUACCAAAUUUGCCAUGAACUCUGCCAAUUUCCUACCAAAAUUUGGUAGGAAACAUCCUAAAACAGAAAAAGGGAUAAUUUCAGCAAUAAGUGUUUUCUCUUCUGCCGAAAAAUAUACAUUAAUUCCUGGAAAAAGUUACAAAACCCAAAAAGUAAGGAUGACCAUCUGAGAUUAAGAAUAGUGGGAUUUUCUACAUGACUUCUGAAGACUGUCUCUACAUCAGAAAGGAAAUUAAAUGAGGCAAAGCUGAAGUGUGUGCUCACCAGCAGUGGCUGGGCCACUCACCGUGGUUAUCAGGCUGAGAGACAGAACAUGCCCCUUGUAAGGGAGCCGUCACCAAGAAGGUAUUUAGAGGUCAUGAGAAGAAACAUGCUGAAGAAGUACAGCUGAGGUGAGGAGAAAGUCAUAAAGAGCUUUAGGAGAGGUUAUUGUGUUGGGCAAGUAAGAAAAGGAAACAUGAGUUCAAAAUAAACCAGGCUUCACCAAGUUUACUGCUUGUGGAAUUAAAUGAUUAUUCCCAGGAACUCACCACAACUAUGUGUGCUGUGACUGCUCAGGUAAAACAACUUCUAAAAUAACCCUUUCAGUAUUUAGAGGUCAAACCCUACCUCUGAUUGGGUUAUGAUGCAAUUUAGUAAUUUUCCAUUUCCAACCUGAUAUUUUUCAAACACGUGCUUUUGAUGCUUUUUCCAAGAAGCACUCUCUCUUCUCUGAAAAAGUAAUUGUAAAUACCUCAUAGCCACUUAAUUAUUUUCUCUGAAAGUCCUCAGGCCUGCUAAACUCUUGAUGAUGGUUGAGUGGUUGCUAUACUGAAACCACUGCCUCAGAUUGAUUGCUUCUGUUUCCUGUUGCUUUCUACCUCAUGGCUUGCAGUCCAAGUGUUUCUGUUCAGACCUUUCCUUUGUCAAGCACAAUAAAAGUCUUUGUCAAUACACCCA